UAUGCACUGGCAUAGUAAACACAACCUCAAAACGGUUACGUCAAAUGCUGCAAACAACAAUAUAAACUUCAAAGUUGCCCGAGGUGGAAGUGAAAGAAAGAUUAGCAUAAACGUCGGAGCCAAGGAUUUUAGGCCAGAGAGAAGGGGAAAACUGAGAGUUCAACUCUGCUGUCCUCCAGAAGUUUUUUGGCAAAGGAUUAUCUAUCAAAACUGUCCUAGCCUCUUAUUUCCUACAUAAUCCCAAGCAAAUGCUGUGAGAAGAAAGGAGUGGUGCCAUUGCCGAGUUGACAUGGGAGAAUGCAGAAUUUCACUCCCAGAUCUAUUUACCCAUUGCACACCUGUAUUCUGUGCGACGUACUCUUUUAUUCUUGUGAAAAACAUUUCACAUUCACACGUGCCAAUAAAACUGAAAUAAGCCACGUUCAAAUGCCAGGUGAUUGUUGAUCAUAAAUAUGCAGAGCAUUCACCAGUAACAACACGCACAGCAUACAAAGGACUUUUUGUUUGGCUUCUUUGGAAUCUGCCCUUGAUUAGUUGCUCAUCACUUAUCCCUGCCUCGGGCACAGUGGAUGAUCAGCCUCCCUCCAGAUGACUCAACUAAUAACAAGCAGCAUGCUGGGCACUGUCGGGUGACUCACAGAUGGAGCUGAAGACCAAUCCAGAAAGCUGUUCCUCACGUGCAUACUGGUUAACCCAGCACUGGCGAUUCAGGUGCCAGGCAGACCCCGGAGGUUCACUGGAAAAUCCUGCCCACUUUGCGGUGUGCUUGGAAACUCCUAGAAUAAAAUGCUGAGCCCUACACUCCCUCUGCAGCCCCUGGUCUGAAAUGGAGAACCUUCCCAUGCCAGGUGAAACAUGUCGUCAAAUCUCAUACUUCACAAGUCGGCGAUCCACAAAUACUUUUAUUAGCUUCCUUGCGUGCAAGCCGCCAGAAGCUGUAUGUCAUUUUUCCUCCAUGAAACCAACAUUCAACUCAACCGUAAGAACGACGACGACGGCAACAAUGAUAACCAUUUCCGUGAAGUUAACCUGGUUGCACUUGAUCGAUGGUGGGGACUUUCGUCUGGAGCCAGUCUGUGCCACAGAGCCAGUUGAAGCGUUCGUAUGUAGCCACAGAUGCUUAUCUCUCCUCGUAACAUCUAUGAGAGCAACAGCAGACAAGGAUGAGGCUGGUUUGGCUUCUGAGGACGGGGACCGCCUGAGACAAUAAUUCCAUCAGGAAUAUCUGAUGUCAUGAAGCAAUGCGUCCGUGAUCCACUAAGAUGAACACAUUUCCGUUGCAGGAGGGAAUCAGGCUUUCUCGUUUCUCUGAACACUCGGUCCCAGGCAAGUCUGAAAUUGCUGUCCUCAAGCCCUCUCCUCGCCUCUUAUUCCUUUGAGGUUUACAGAAAAUCUGUGCUACAGUUAAUAAUAGAUAGAUCUAUUGUUACCUUUCAGUAAGAAGAGCAAUAUUAUUUGGAAAUAUGUUUUUGUGUCAGUUUAAAAACACACGCGCAGGCGUCACCAUUUAUGCUUUGUAGUAUAAUCGUCUGCCCCUCCAUUCUUUUCCUUUCCCAGUAACUUGUGUACAUAUAUGAGCUAUUAAAGAAUGGUUACUUAUUCACUCUCAGUAGAACAGGCAAGGCAGCAACACAGUCGGUGACCAACUCAAUAGGCAUUUAUUGGGCAAUUACUUCCUUUAAGGCACUGAGCCCAGGUACUAUGGUUAAUACAAAAAUGCAUAAGGCCUUGACCGCUCCUCCCAGGGGCUUCUGGUCCAGUAAAGGAGAGUAAGCCGCAGAUACAAACAACCCAUGCGGAAUGGAAAGUGGCAAAUGUGAAAUACAAGGAACGUGCUGCGGGACUUCUGAGCACAGUCAGAUCGCGUCUGAGGGUGUUCUGCGGAGCGGAUGCUUUCUGCCCUGGGCUCCGGCGGAGCUGAGGGUUUGGGCAAGUAAUGGUGGGCGGGUAGAGAUGGGCUACCCCAGGCAGUGGGAGUCGUGCGAGCAAGCAGAUGGCCCUGGAAAGUGCUGAGUGGUGUCUGGACCCGUAAACUACUGUUUGGUUGUGAUGUCGAUAGAGCGGACCUCUGAUGGUGGUGAGACAUAAGUUCUCCCAGCAUGAGGUCCCCAGAGUACUUUGGUGUCAAGCUAAGACAUUUGAACUUUACCUGUGUAGACGCCUACGUUCAGAGAGAUACUGAUCCAAGUCUUCCCAGGGCAGGGAAUACCCUGGCAGCCUCUGCCUUUCCCAGGUAGGACCUGGGGUGCCUGUGGGGAGCUCCACCUGGCUGCCCUGACUCACAGUCUGCCUUUGAACUUCUAUCCCAACAAUGCUCUCCUCUCCCUUCCAGCAGCCAUGCGAACAUACACUGGUCUAGUUGCCCCCAUGGGCCUGAGCUCUGCCCUCAACCUCAGUCCACUGGAAUGUGACCCUAACGUCGGUCUAGAUCUUACUGGGGGAAAGCUUCUUGUCCCCUUCUCCUGUCACCCAGCUGCUGGCCAAGACUCAAGAGUAGGAGGUAGGUGUGGGAGUCAAAGCCAGUGCUUCUGGUUCUUUCCAUUACCACAUCUGCUUCCCAUAGUUCACUCUCCUAGGGAUGUACUUGCCAUAUUGUAUGUACAGGCCUCCAAGAGUGGGAAGGAAAAUUUCGUCUUAGUUAGCGCUUCUCAAAAUUUGCCUUUUGCCUGAGUCAUCUAAAUAGCCAUGCUAGAAGAAAUAUCACUUGAAAGAUGCUUCCGAGGCAUUUGUUUAUGAAUAUUCUUUUGAAUAAAUAAAUACAUUGAGCAAUAAACAUAUUAGAGCGACAUUCUGAAAACGAAUCACUCGGCGUGAUGCCACCAACCUUGCUUGAUUGACUUCUGGAAUGAUCUGCGGUCCGACAGCUGUGCUUCGCUCUUAUUCAUGGAAACACAGAUGCAGACGCUUGUGUGAACGAACCUUCCAUGUCCUCGUUGUUCACUAUGCAGAGAGAGCACAGUAAGACUUCCUCCUCCCCAGAGAUUGCAGCAUAGAGCCCUUCCCUUGAUCAUGAGCAGAAAUAAAUGACCUCCCCCCGCCACCCCAGGGGUGCCUGGGUGGUUCAGUUGGUUAAGUGGCCAAAUCUUG